rnacentral:rRNA from 15 species
UCCUUUAAAGAUAGCGUAACAGCUCACUGGUCUAAUUAAGGGGUUUUGCGCCGAAAAUGUACCGGGGCUAAAGCCAUGCACCGAAGUUGAGGAUGUGCAGUUUACUGCACGUGGUAGCGGAGCGUUCUGUAAGUCUGUGAAGGUGGCCUGCGAGGGCUGCUGGAGAUAUCAGAAGUGAGAAUGCUGACAUGAGUAGCGAUAAAGAGGGUGAGAGGCCCUCUCGCCGAAAGUCCAAGGGUUCCUGCGCAAUGCUAAUCAGCGCA